rnacentral:rRNA from 1 species
GACGAACGCUGGCGGCGUGCCUAACACAUGCAAGUCGAACGAAGUGGCGAACGGGUGAGUAACGCGUAAUCAACCUGCCCUUCAGAGGGGGACAACAGUUGGAAACGACUGCUAAUACCGCAUACGGAAGGAGGGGAUUGCGGCUGAUUAGCUAGUUGGAGGGGUAACGGCCCACCAAGGCGAAGAUCAGUAGCCGGGCUGAGAUGAGGAACGGCCACAUUGGGACUGUGACAAGUCCCAGACUCCUACGGGAGGCAGCAGUGGGGAAUCUUCCGCAAUGGACGAAAGUCUGACGGAGCAACGCCGCGUGAGUGAUGACGGCCUUCGGGUUGUAAAGCUCUGUUAAUCGGGACGCGGUACCGGAAUAGAAAGCCACGGCUAACUACGUGCCAGCAGCCGCGGUAAUAC